AUUGAACGCUGGCGGGAGGCCUUACACAUGCAAGUCGAGCGAGCGGCGGACGGGUGUGUGAGGUCUGGGAAACUGCCUGCUGGAGGGGGAGAAAUAUUGGCAACGGUAGCUAAGACCGCAUAACAUCAGAUGUGCCCAGAUAGGAUUAGCUAGUAGGGGGGGUAACGGCGCACCUAGGCGACGCUCACUAGCUGGUCUGUGAGGAUGACCAGCCACAUGGGAACUGAGACACGGCCCAGACUCCUACGGGAGGCAGCAGUGGGGAAUAUUGGACAAUGGUAGCAAUCCUGAUGCAGCCAUGCCGCGUGUAUGAUGAAGGCCUUCGGGUUUUAAAGCACUUUCGGCGGUGAGGCGUUAUCCGCAGAAGAAGCACCGGCUAACUCCGUGCCAGCAGCCGCGGUAAUAC
rnacentral:rRNA from 1 species